UACGUAGGGAGCGAGCGUUGUUCGGAUUUACUGGGCGUAAAGGGCGCGUAGGCGGCAAUUCAAGUCAUCUGUGAAAUCUCCGGGCUUAACUCGGAACGGUCAGAUGAUACUGCUUUGCUAGAGUACAGAAGGGGCAAUCGGAAUUCUUGGUGUAGCGGUGAAAUGCGUAGAUAUCAAGAGGAACACCUGAGGUGAAGACGGGUUGCUGGGCUGAUACUGACGCUGAGGCGCGAAAGCUAGGGUAGCAAACGGG
rnacentral:rRNA from 1 species